GAUGAACGCUAGCGGCAGGCCUAACACAUGCAAGUCGAGGGAGAAGCCCUUUCGGGGGCAGAAACCGGCGCACGGGUGCGUAACGCGUAUGCAACCUACCUUUCACAGGGGGAUAGCCCGAAGAAAUUUGGAUUAAUACCCCAUAAUAUUAUUGGAUGGCAUCAUUUGAUAAUUAAAACUGCGGUGGUGAAAGAUGGGCAUGCGUCCUAUUAGCUAGUUGGAGUGGUAACGGCACCCCAAGGCUACGAUAGGUAGGGGUCCUGAGAGGGAGAUCCCCCACACUGGUACUGAGACAGGGACCAGACUCCUACGGGAGGCAGCAGUGAGGAAUAUUGGUCAAUGGUCGGAAGACUGAACUAGCCAUGCCGCGUGCAGGAAGAAUGCCUUAUGGGUUGUAAACUGCUUUUAUAUGGGAAGAAUAAGGCGUACGUGUACGUUGAUGACGGUACCAUAUGAAUAAGCAUCGGCUAACUCCGUG
rnacentral:rRNA from 1 species